CCUACGGGAGGCAGCAGUGGGGAAUAUUGCACAAUGGGCGAAAGCCUGACGCAGCGACGCCGCGUGAGUGAAGAAGUACUUCGGUUUGUAAAGCUCUAUCAGCAGGGAAGAAAAUUCCCGUACCUGAUCAAGAAGCCCCUGCUAACUACGUGACAGCAGCCGCGGGCAUACUGAGGGCGCGAGCGUUAUCCGGAUUUACUGGGGGUAACGGGAGCGUAGACGGCCAGACAAGUCAGGAGUGAAAGCCCAGGGCUCAACCCUGGGACUGCUUUUGAAACUGCCGAGCUGGAGUGCCUGAGAGGUAAGCGGAAUUCCUGGUGUAGGGGUGAAAUGCGUAGAUAUUAGGAGGAACACCAGUGGCGAAGGCGGCUUACUGG
rnacentral:rRNA from 1 species